rnacentral:rRNA from 1 species
AAGUCGAGGGGUAACGGGGAAGCUUGCCUCCGCCGACGACCGGCGCACGGGUGCGUAACGCGUAUACAAUCUACCUUGUACUGGGGUAUAGCCUUUAGAAAUGAAGAUUAAUCCCCCAUAGUCUCUUAGAGUGGCAUCACUUCUAGAGUAAAGGUUACGGUAUAAGAUGAGUAUGCGUUCUAUUAGUUUGUUGGUGUGGUAACGGCACACCAAGACUACGAUAGAUAGGGGCCCUGAGAGGGGGAUCCCCCACACUGGUACUGAGACACGGACCAGACUCCUACGGGAGGCAGCAGUGAGGAAUAUUGGACAAUGGAGGCAACUCUGAUCCAGCCAUGCCGCGUGCAGGAAGACUGCCCUAUGGGUUGUAAACUGCUUUUAUACAGGAAGAAACACCUCUACGUGUAGAGGCUUGACGGUACUGUAAGAAAUAAGGAUCGGCUAACUCCGUGCCAGCAGCCGCGGUAAUACGGAGGAUCCAAGCGUUAUCCGGAAUCAUUGGGUUUAAAGGGUCCGUAGGUGGAUAACUAAGUCAGAGGUGAAAUCUUGCAGCUCAACCUGUAAAAUUGCCUUUGAAACUGGUUAUUCUUGAGUUAUUAUGAAGUAGUUAGAAUAUGUAGUGUAGCGGUGAAAUGCAUAGAUAUUACAUAGAAUACCAAUUGCGAAGGCAGAUUACUAAUAAUUAACUGACACUGAUGGACGAAAGCCGUGGGUAGCGAACAGGAUUAGAUACCCUGGUAGUCCACGCCGUAAACGAUGGUUACUAGCUGUUUGGAACUUCCGUCUGAGUGGCUAAGCGAAAGUGAUAAGUAACCCCACCUGGGGAGUACGUUCCGCAAGAAUGAAACUCAAAGGAAUUGACGGGGGCCCGCACAAGCGUGAGCAUGUGGUUUAAUUCGAUGAUACGCGAG